UACGGGAGGCAGCAGUGGGGAAUAUUGCACAAUGGGGGAAACCCUGAUGCAGCAACGCCGCGUGAAGGAUGACGGUUUUCGGAUUGUAAACUUCUUUUCUUAGUGACGAAGACAGUGACGGUAGCUAAGGAAUAAGCAUCGGCUAACUACGUGCCAGCAGCCGCGGUAAUACGUAGGAUGCAAGCGUUAUCCGGAUUUACUGGGUGUAAAGGGAGCGCAGGCGGGACUGCAAGUUGGAUGUGAAAUACCGUGGCUUAACCACGGAACUGCAUCCAAAACUGUAGUUCUUGAGUGAAGUAGAGGCAAGCGGAAUUCCGAGUGUAGCGGUGAAAUGCGUAGAUAUUCGGAGGGACACCAGUGGCGAAGGCGGCUUGCUGGGCUUUAACUGACGCUGAGGCUCGAAAGUGUGGGGAGCAAACAGGAUUAGAUACCCUGGUAGUCCACACUGUAAACGAUGAUAGCUAGGUGUGGGGGGUCUGACCCCUUCCGUGCCGGAGUUAACGCAAUAAGCUAUCCACCUGGGGAGUACGACCGCAAGGU
rnacentral:rRNA from 1 species